rnacentral:rRNA from 1 species
GAUGAACGCUGGCGGCGUGCCUAAUACAUGCAAGUCGAGCGAACAGACGAGGAGCUUGCUCCUUUGACGUUAGCGGCGGACGGGUGAGUAACACGUGGAUAACCUACCUAUAAGACUGGGAUAACUUCGGGAAACCGGAGCUAAUACCGGAUAACAUGUUGAACCGCAUGGUUCAACAGUGAAAGACGGUCUUGCUGUCACUUAUAGAUGGAUCCGCGCCGCAUUAGCUAGUUGGUAAGGUAACGGCUUACCAAGGCAACGAUGCGUAGCCGACCUGAGAGGGUGAUCGGCCACACUGGAACUGAGACACGGUCCAGACUCCUACGGGAGGCAGCAGUAGGGAAUCUUCCGCAAUGGGCGAAAGCCUGACGGAGCAACGCCGCGUGAGUGAAGAAGGUCUUCGGAUCGUAAAACUCUGUUAUUAGGGAAGAACAAAUGUGUAAGUAACUAUGCACGUCUUGACGGUACCUAAUCAGAAAGCCACGGCUAACUACGUGCCAGCAGCCGCGGUAAUACGUAGGUGGCAAGCGUUAUCCGGAAUUAUUGGGCGUAAAGCGCGCGUAGGCGGUUUUUUAAGUCUGAUGUGAAAGCCCACGGCUCAACCGUGGAGGGUCAUUGGAAACUGGAAAACUUGAGUGCAGAAGAGGAAAGUGGAAUUCCAUGUGUAGCGGUGAAAUGCGCAGAGAUAUGGAGGAACACCAGUGGCGAAAGCGACUUUCUGGUCUGUAACUGACGCUGAUGUGCGAAAGCGUGGGGAUCAAACAGG